AUACUUACCUGGUAGGGGGGAUACUAGUUUCACAAAGGUGGUUUUCCCAGGGUGAAGCUUAUCCAUUGCACUCUGAUGUGCUGCCUCCUGCAAUUUCCCCAAAUGUGGGAAACUCAGAAUUUGCGAUAGUGAGGGACUGCAUUCGCGCCCUCUUC
rnacentral:snRNA from 1 species